GGAGGGCAUUGUUUCUCCCACCCUUCUCUCCACAAGCGAAACAAAGGAAGACAAAGACUUCAUUUUAUGCCUCAGAGCGGACGGACAAUGGCGCAAUGAGUGACGAUGCCGCGUACUGCACGGCGCAGCUGUCUCGUCCCUGCUUUGGUUUCUUGAUCCCCCUGCGCGAGAAAAAGAGGCCGCGAUGGUCGCAGAGAACAGCAGAGCGCCGACAAUGCGGCUUCCACGGCUUUUAACUACAAGGAGCACUUCCUUCUCCAUCGAUUGGCUGUCACCGUGGCAACGCGUCACACCUGGACUACAGUUCAUUGGACGGUUUCUUUGAAUUCUGCCCCCAAGGUUCCAAGGACCAGCACACUUGGCCUGCUGCCAGCAGCCGUUCAUGCAUUCCCUUGUAUGAAAUAAAUUUGAUCUAGAAGCUCUUG